GAUGAAGAACGCAGCGAAAUGCGAUAAGUAAUGUGAAUUGCAGAAUUCAGUGAAUCAUCGAAUCUUUGAACGCACCUUGCGCCCUUUGGCUAUUCUGAAGGGCAUGCCUGUUUGAGUAUCGUGAACACCUCAACUCUCAUGGUCUGCCAUGAUGAGCUUGGACUUUGGGGGUCUUGCUGGCCUACUGUCAGCUCCUCUCAAAUGGAUCAGCUUACCAGUGUUUGGUGGCACCACAGGUGUGAUAACUAUCUACGCUUGUGGUUUUCUGCCAGGUAACCUCCAGUGAUGGAGGUUCGCUGGAGCUCACAAAUGUCUCUCCUCAGCGAGGACAGCUUUUUGAACGUUUGAUCUCAAAUCAGGUAGGACUACCCGCUGAACUUAAGCAUAUCAAUAAGCGGAGGA
rnacentral:misc_RNA from 1 species